rnacentral:lncRNA from 1 species
UGAAUCAGAUUUAGGUUAAACACUUUGCGUGAAAACUACUAAGAACCGUUCAUCACAGUUUCAGUACCUCAAACUCGAAUAAAAUUCGCAUACGUAUUAUCCAGCAGAAACAUACUCUUUAAACUCUUCAAUGCCACGAACACAAUCUCAAGCAUAAGAAAUAUCGGACAUCUCAAAGGCGACAAACUCCAACAUAACAAAUAAGACAUUACAAUCUCUGACAUAUCUCUUUACAGAAGGGCCAAAAGAUUAUUUGUUAACAGAAAUUUGAAGCGGUUUACUUUUACAUUGAAAUAAAUAAAGCAUCCUUUUGUAACUUUAAAGGUUCAAAAGCAUUAUUUCUAGUAUAUAUGCAUUCAGAAUAAGAAAUGCCAUUAAGAUUUAACGUUUUAUCAGGGGACUUAUGUUUUAAAAACUAUUCAAAACACAUGAAUUAAAUUCGCGUUCAAAAUUAUAUAGUUAUUUACGCAUGAAUUGUACAUCAAGUUUUUUAAAGUUAUUAGUUAGAGAUCUAUGGUUUCACAGAUUACAGAAAAGUAACAUGGACAUAUUGCACUUUGAAUACUAUGCCCAAGGACCUUAAUAGGAAUAAUCGUAGUAAUCAUGGAUACAAUGUUGAACCAUGCAAAAAAAUCCGCGGAGAUUAUGAAAUUCCGAUUAGAAAAACCAUCGACUAAUUAACCGUAGGUUUCAAUAUUUACUUAAGGUAAGUUACAAUAUUGCAAAUCAUAAAAUUGAUAAAUUCCAAGUUUUACGACUGAUCGUUGAAUAUUUUCAGUAAGUUGUUACGUUUAAAUUCUCAGAUGACUAAACAUAACUGCGAACUAAGCUGAAAAAAAUUUAUAUUUUUUGUUUUGUUUUGUUCUUUUUCAUUGGGUGAAAAGUGGACAACAAAUUUUCUUUUAGGACGACAAUGGCCUUGAUAACACUUAUAGGCACUAGGCCACGGACGACGUGCCAGGUAGCUCCGAGCGCCAGUAUUGAACAUUAAAAGUUGACCCAUAUCUACUCACGGCAUUAGAAAUUAUUGUACGGCUUAUUUUAUCAUUUUCAGUAAAAAUAAGAAGACUGUAAACACCGUUAUAUUAUCGAUGAAUAUAGAAAUCUUAUCGAUAAAUGUGAUAACUUAAACAAGAAUCAUUUCAACUGUGGAUAUCCAUAAUUCUAGGAUGUUUUCCACAUUGAAUCAUUCGAGAAAAGUUAAGUGAGGCCCAAUAUUGUUGCUCACCCUUUGGGGAAACGUGAAACAGAUUUAGGUUAAACACUAUGUGUGCAAACUACUAAGAACCGUUCAUCACAUUUACGGUACCACAAACUCGAAUAAAAUUCGCAUACGUAUUAUCCAGCAGAAACAUACUCUUUAAACUCUUCAAUGCCACGAACACAAUCUCAAGCAUAAGAAAUAUCGGACAUCUCAAAGGCGACAAACUCCAACAUAACAAAUAAGACAUUACAAUCUCUGACAUAUCUCUUUACAGAAGGGCCAAAAGAUUAUUUGUUAACAGAAAUUUGAAGCGGUUUACUUUUACAUUGAAAUAAAUAAAGCAUCCUUUUGUAACUUUAAAGGUUCAAAAGCAUUAUUUCUAGUAUAUAUGCAUUCAGAAUAAGAAAUGCCAUUAAGAUUUAACGUUUUAUCAGGGGACUUAUGUUUUAAAAACUAUUCAAAACACAUGAAUUAAAUUCGCGUNCCAACAUAACAAAUAAGACAUUACAAUCUCUGACAUAUCUCUUUACAGAAGGGCCAAAAGAUUAUUUGUUAACAGAAAUUUGAAGCGGUUUACUUUUACAUUGAAAUAAAUAAAGCAUCCUUUUGUAACUUUAAAGGUUCAAAAGCAUUAUUUCUAGUAUAUAUGCAUUCAGAAUAAGAAAUGCCAUUAAGAUUUAACGUUUUAUCAGGGGACUUAUGUUUUAAAAACUAUUCAAAACACAUGAAUUAAAUUCGCGUUCGAAAUUAUAUAGUUAUAUACGCAUGAAUUGUACAUCAAGUUUUUUAAAGUUAUUAGUUAGAUAUCUAUGGAUUCAUAGAUUAUAGGAAAGGAACAUGGACAUAGAGCACUUGGAAUACUAUGCCAAAAGACCAUAAUAAGAAUAAUCGUAGUAAUCAUGGAUACAAUGUUGAACCAUGCAAAAAAAUCCGCGGAGACUAUGAAAUUCCGAUUAGAAAAACCAUCGACUAAUUAACCGUAGGUUUAAAUAUUUACUUUAGGUAAGUUACAAUAUUGCAAAUCAUAAAAUUGAUAAAUUCCAAGUUUUACGACUGAUCGUUGAAUAUUUUCAGUAAGUUGUUACGUUUAAAUUCUCAGAUGACUAAACAUAACUGCGAACUAAGCUGAAAAAAAUUUAUAUUUUUUGUUUUGUUUUGUUUUUUUUCAUUGGGCGAAAGUGGACAACAAAUUUUCUUUAAGGACGACAAUGGCCUUGAUAACACUUAUAGGCACCAGGCCACGGACCACGUGCCAGGUUUUACGACUGAUCGUUGAAUAUUUUCAGUAAGUUGUUACGUUUAAAUUCUCAGAUGACUAAACAUAACUGCGAAACCAGCCGAAAAAAAUGUAUAUUUGUUGUUUUGUUUAUUUGUUUUUCAUUGUGUGAAUAGUGGACAACAAAUUUGCUUUAAGGACGACAAUGGCCUUGAUAACACUUAUAGGCACUAGGCCACGGACGACGUGCCAGGUAGCUCCGAGCGCCAGUAUUGAACAUUAAAAGUUGACCCAUAU